rnacentral:rRNA from 1 species
AGGUCAAGUGAAGAAGGGCGCACGGUGAAUGCCUUGGCACUGGAAGCCGAUGAAGGACGCGACUAACCGCGAAAGUCUUCGGGGAGCCGUAAGUAGGCUUUGAUCCGGAGGUCUCCGAAUGGGGGAACCCAGCAUGUGCAGACAUGCUAUCCUUAAGUGAAUACAUAGCUUAAGGAGGGAACACGCAGUGAACUGAAACAUCUAAGUAGCUGCAGGAAGAGAAAGAAAUAUCGAUUUCCCAAGUAGCGGCGAGCGAACAGGAAAGAGCCCAAACCGGCAGAUUUAUCUGCCGGGGUUGUAGGACUGAGACAUGGCACUUCAGAGGAUAGCAGAAGCGUUUGGGAAAGCGCGCCAGAGAGGGUGAGAGCCCCGUAAGCGAAAUCCAAAGAAGGCCUAUCAGUAUCCUGAGUAGGGCGGGACACGUGAAAUCCCGUUUGAAUCCGCGAGGACCAUCUCGCAAGGCUAAAUACUAACCAGUGACCGAUAGUGAACCAGUACCGUGAGGGAAAGGUGAAAAGAACCCCGGGAGGGGAGUGAAAUAGAACCUGAAACCGUGUGCCUACAAGUAGUCAGAGCCCGUUAACGGGUAAUGGCGUGCCUUUUGUAGAAUGAACCGGCGAGUUGCGUUAGUCAGCAAGGUUAAGUCAGAAAAGACGGAGCCGUAGCGAAAGCGAGUCUGAAGAGGGCGAGCAGUUGGCUGACGCAGACCCGAAACCAAGUGACCUACCCAUGACCAGGUUGAAGGCGCGGUAAAACGCGCUGGAGGACCGAACCCACGUAAGUUGAAAAUUGCGGGGAUGAGUUGUGGGUAGCGGUGAAAUUCCAAACGAACUUGGAGAUAGCUGGUUCUCUCCGAAAUAGCUUUAGGGCUAGCCUCGCAAAGAGGAUGCUGGAGGUAGAGCUCUGUUUGGACUAGGGGCCCGUCAAGGGUUACUGAAUUCAGAUAAACUGCGAAUUCCAGACAUUUAUGUGCGGGAGUCAGACUGCGAGUGAUAAGAUCCGUAGUCGAAAGGGAAACAGCCCAGAUCACCAGUUAAGGUCCCAAAAUUCAUGCUAAGUGGAAAAGGAUGUGGAGUUGCGCAGACAACUAGGACGUUGGCUCAGAAGCAGCCAUCAUUCAAAGAGUGCGUAAUAGCUCACUAGUCGAGUGACGCCGCGCCGAAAAUUUACCGGGGCUAAGCAUGAUAC